rnacentral:rRNA from 1 species
GACGAACGCUGGCGGCGUGCUUAACACAUGCAAGUCGAACGCAGUGGCGAACGGGUGAGUAACGAGUAAUCAACCUGCCCUUCAGAGGGGGACAACAGUUGGAAACGACUGCUAAUACCACAUACGUAAGGAGGGGCUUGCGGCGGAUGAGCUAGUUGGAGGGGUAACGGCCCACCAAGGCGAGGAUCAGUAGCCGGUCUGAGAGGAUGAACGGCCACAUUGGGACUGAGACACGGCCCAGACUCCUACGGGAGGCAGCAGUGGGGAAUCUUCCGCAAUGGACGAAAGUCUGACGGAGCAACGCCGCGUGAGUGAUGACGGCCUUCGGGUUGUAAAGCUCUGUUAAUCGGGACGCGGUACCUGAAUAGAAAGCCACGGCUAACUACGUGCCAGCAGCCGCGGUAAUUC